rnacentral:rRNA from 1 species
AUUGAACGCUGGCGGUAUGCCUAACACAUGCAAGUCGAACGAGGUAGCAAUACCUAGUGGCGGACGGGUGAGGAAUACGUAGGGAUCUGCCCUUAAGUGGGGGAUAACCCGGGGGAAACCCGGAUUAAUACCGCAUGAUCUCGCAAGAGCAAAGAGGGGGACCGCAAGGCCUCUCGCUUUUGGAGGAACCUACGUCGGAUUAGCUAGUUGGUGAGGUAAUGGCUCACCAAGGCGACGAUCCGUAACUGGUCUGAGAGGAUGAUCAGUCACACCGGAACUGAGACACGGUCCGGACUCCUACGGGAGGCAGCAGUGGGAAUAUUGGACAAUGGGCGAAAGCCUGAUCCAGCAAUACCGCGUGUGUGAAGAAGGCC